UACGUAGGGGCCUAGCGUUGUCCGGAAUUAUUGGGCGUAAAGAGCUCGUAGGCGGUUCGGCAAGUCGGAUGUGAAAUCUCCACGCUUAACGUGGAGGGGCCAUUCGAAACUGCUGUGACUCGAGUCCGGUAGGGGAGUGUGGAAUUCCCGGUGUAGCGGUGAAAUGCGCAGAUAUCGGGAGGAACACCAGUAGCGAAGGCGGCACUCUGGGCCGGAACUGACGCUGAGGAGCGGAAAGCGUGGGGAGCCGAACGAGGA
rnacentral:rRNA from 1 species